rnacentral:rRNA from 1 species
UACGUAGGGUGCAAGCGUUGUCCGGAAUUAUUGGGCGUAAAGAGCUCGUAGGCGGUUCGUCGCGUCGGCUGUGAAAUCCCGAGGCUCAACCUCGGGUCUGCAGUCGAUACGGGCGGACUGGAGUACUGCAGGGGAGACUGGAAUUCCUGGUGUAGCGGUGAAAUGCGCAGAUAUCAGGAGGAACACCGGUGGCGAAGGCGGGUCUCUGGGCAGUUACUGACGCUGAGGAGCGAAAGCGUGGGGAGCAAACGGG